CCCCUCUCGGAAUGGCACCUGGAGAGUUUCCAGUACUCUACCAGUCUCGGCUAUGGGAGGGAGAGUCUAGCGGAGGCCUGCCAAUUCCAUUCCUAGCUUGGGCAGUGGCUAGUGAGCAGAAGGCAAUCUGCUACAAGG